rnacentral:lncRNA from 1 species
AAUUUAUUGAAAAAACAAAGGUAAAAAGGUAAAUAAUAACUUAUUUGAACUCUGAACAAUUUUGAGUUGACACUUUGACUUUAAAAUUCAAAUAUGUUAUUACAUAAUUCUUGCAACUAAUUAAUUCAUUAAAAUAAAUAAUUAAUUUAAAUUUUUAAAAGUCAAAUAUUGUUGACGAAUUCAAAUCAAAUAAAUUAAAAGAUCAGAUAAUAAAAUUAAAAGUUUGAAAGAUUUAGUAGUGAUCUAUUCAAAAUGGUUUAUAGUUUCAGGUAAGAAUUAUAUGUUUUUACUGGAAAAAAAAUGGUAAAAAUAUAAGAAUAU